rfam:Triticum aestivum genome assembly, contig: Triticum_aestivum_CS42_TGACv1_scaffold_543197_6DS
UGGAAAGUGAUCAAAAGAAAGAACAAAACACACCAUCUUUCGGGAUUGAUUGGUGUCUCCUAUGUGCCAUGAUGUCUAAUCUGUAAUUCAGACACCA